rnacentral:rRNA from 1 species
CUACGUGCCAGCAGCCGCGGUAAUACGUAGGUGGCAAGCGUUGUCCGGAAUUAUUGGGCGUAAAGCGCGCGCAGGCGGAUUGGUCAGUCUGUCUUAAAAGUUCGGGGCUUAACCCCGUGAUGGGAUGGAAACUGCCAAUCUAGAGUAUCGGAGAGGAAAGUGGAAUUCCUAGUGUAGCGGUGAAAUGCGUAGAUAUUAGGAAGAACACCAGUGGCGAAGGCGACUUUCUGGACGAAAACUGACGCUGAGGCGCGAAAGCCAGGGGAGCGAACGGGAUUAGAUACCCCGGUAGUCCUGGCCGUAAACGAUGGGUACUAGGUGUAGGAGGUAUCGACCCCUUCUGUGCCGGAGUUAACGCAAUAAGUACCCCGCCUGGGGAGUACGACCGCAAGGUUGAAACUCAAAGGAAUUGACGGGGGCCCGCACAAGCGGAGGAACAUGUGGUUUAAUUCGAUGAUACGCGAGGAACCUUACCCGGGCUUGA